rnacentral:rRNA from 1 species
UGGGGAAUAUUGGACAAUGGGCGAAAGCCUGAUCCAGCCAUGCCGCGUGUGUGAAGAAGGUCUUCGGAUUGUAAAGCACUUUAAGUUGGGAGGAAGGGCAUUAACCUAAUACGUUAGUGUUUUGACGUUACCGACAGAAUAAGCACCGGCUAACUCUGUGCCAGCAGCCGCGGUAAUACAGAGGGUGCAAGCGUUAAUCGGAAUUACUGGGCGUAAAGCGCGCGUAGGUGGUUCGUUAAGUUGAAUGUGAAAUCCCCGGGCUUAACCUGGGAAUUGCAUUCGAUACUGCUUGGCUAGAGUGUGGAAGAGGGAAGCGGAAUUUCCGGUGUAGCGGUGAAAUGCGUAGAUAUCGGAAGGAACACCAGUGGCGAAGGCGGCUUCCUGGUCCAACACUGACGCUGAGGCGCGAAAGCGUGGGGAGCAAACAGGAUUAGAUACCCAGGUAGUCCCUGAGCGGGCUGGCAAGGCGCAU